UGCAAACAACAAGAUCCAGGUGUUGGUUUGUACAAGUACGUUAGCAUGGGGUGUAAACCUUCCUGCACAUUUGGUUGUUAUUAAGGGAACAGAGUUUUAUGAUGGGAAAGCAAAAAGAUAUGUUGAUUUCCCAAUCACUGAUAUAUUACAAAUGAUGGGUCGAGCUGGUCGUCCACAAUAUGAUCAACAUGGGAAAGCUGUUAUUCUUGUUCAUGAACCCAAGAAGAGCUUUUAUAAAAAGUUUCUAUAUGAACCAUUCCCAGUUGAAAGUAGCCUGAGAGAGCAACUUCAUGACCACAUCAACGCUGAGAUUGUUACUGGAACAAUCUCUCAUAAAGAGGACGCUAUGCAUUAUCUCACUUGGACCUACUUGUUUCGUAGAUUGAUGGUUAACCCAGCUUACUAUGGCCUAGAGCAUGCAGAACCUGGGAUUCUAAAUUCUUAUUUGUCUAGCUUGGUGCAAAGCACAUUUGAGGAUCUUGAAG
rnacentral:misc_RNA from 1 species